GCGGCGCUGCGGGGUGCGUCAGGUAAAGCAAUCCCUGGGGCCAAUACCAACCUCUAGGGAGCUGUCCCUGUCGGGACCCUGGUCCCGGUAUAUGGCGCCCACCUGUCUAGGCAGGCCACAGAGGAUUCCAUAUUGCCAACGGCCUUUGCGGCGCCGCC
rnacentral:other from 1 species